rnacentral:rRNA from 1 species
GACGAACGCUGGCGGCGUGCUUAACACAUGCAAGUCGAACGCUGAAGCUUGGUGCUUGCACUGGGUGGAUGAGUGGCGAACGGGUGAGUAAUACGUGAGUAACCUGCCCUUGACUCUGGGAUAAGCCUGGGAAACUGGGUCUAAUACUGGAUACGACAUGUCACCGCAUGGUGGUGUGUGGAAAGGGUUUUACUGGUUUUGGAUGGGCUCACGGCCUAUCAGCUUGUUGGUGGGGUAAUGGCUCACCAAGGCGACGACGGGUAGCCGGCCUGAGAGGGUGACCGGCCACACUGGGACUGAGACACGGCCCAGACUCCUACGGGAGGCAGCAGUGGGGAAUAUUGCACAAUGGGCGGAAGCGUGAUGCAGCGACGCCGCGUGAGGGAUGACGGCCUUCGGGUUGUAAACCUCUUUCAGCACGGAAGAAGCGAAAGUGACGGUACGUGCAGAAGAAGCGCCGGCUAACUACGUG